GAGAUGGCCAGCAUAUCCUCUGUGAAGAAUCUGCAGUGCUGAAACUCAUUCUUGCCUUCCAAAAUUUCGACUUUCCACAUUUUUCAAAAUCUGGGUCUUACAAAAAUUGAUCAGGAGCUGAAGUUAGGCCUCAACAGCCACUUGAAUUCUUUCCAUUAGCAGUUCUUAUUGUGGUGUGUAUAAAAGGGAGCUGCAGCAAAAGUGAUGCAUAUCCAGAACACCACCAGGCACCUCACAUUGGAAGAAAGUGGAUUAUUGGAAGCUAAUCUCAGGUUUAUUACUGGAUGCUGUGGAAUUAACACACGGGAGGCCUAUCUCUUUGCACCUGGGUGGGAUAAUGGCAGAAACUUCAGGUUAAUAAAACCUUCUCUUGCACGCACAAUCUAUUCAUUAUCUGCUUGUCUGUUUGUUUUUGUAGGAAUUUUAUUUCUUCUAUUUACCAGAUAUAUCAGGAGUCCUGUAACUUAUUAUAUUUAAGGAAGUAGCCACAGCAUAACACCUUUUCACAAAACCUUUUGUGAAAAAUGUAUUUUAAGAAGCAAACAACCUCUUUGUUUUUAUUUUAAAUUAUGCUGCCCUUAUAGGAACCAUUUUUUCUGCAUGUUUGCAUUAUUUUGAAAUAGAAAGCUUUAAUUACAACAUGAAAGGGAGCAUCUAAGAUUUUUGACAUGUAACAAAAAUAAAACAGUAUUAAAAUAUGACCCCUGGUACA
rnacentral:lncRNA from 1 species